rnacentral:lncRNA from 1 species
AGUUCCCACACUGCAGUGCCUCUGGUGAGGAGACAGCGCCACUGAGGCUUCCUCCCAGGACUUUCCAGGCCAGGCCCCUGCCAACUCAUAUGUUGGCUUAAGCUCUCAUCUCCCUGUCACGUGUUGGGAACCCAGGGCCUACUGAAGAAGUGAUUAGUGCACCUGAGCAGGAUAGGCAGCCUGAGCCAGCCCUCCACCCUUCAGCUGCGACAGGGCCUUGCGGAUGGUGUUCAGCUCCUGGAUCGUGGCUCCUCGGGCUGCCAGCAGCUUGAUGUUCAACAGGGUGAACUUCCAGCUGAGGAGAGGUGACCAACCUGACACCACUCACUAGGUACCCUCCAGGUUCCUCACUGUCUGCCAUGGUCCUGACUUCACCCUGUGACCAUAUGGUACUCGGGGCACCCCUGUCGGCUGGUCCCACACCUGAGAUGAGCACCAGCAGCAGGUCAUCUGCAGUGAGCCCCUCUGCCAGCUGCUGGAUGGUCAGCGCGGCCCGGAGUGCAUCCCGAUCCGGAGCCAAAUUCCCAACUCUAAGACACUACACCUUCCCAGCUCCAGUGCACCCGCCUUGGUAAGUGAGGAUAGGCGAAGACCAGGCUCGACUCCUCCCGGAACCAAAGCGGAGCUGACAUCAAGUCCGGAAUUGGCCAACCGCCAGGUGACCGGAAGUGACGUCUCCUGAGCCUGAGCCUGUGAUCUUCUCGAGGGAAAUGUUGCCGUGUAGUGCAAGAUGUCGCAAGAUUAAGGGGUUGCUGUCGCCUGGAUCGGUCUCUGUCCGGGCCAGGAACGACUUCCAAGUACCAUUUAUUUGCUUGAGACGCAAACUCACCUUCCCGCAGCUUCUGGCGCUGGAGACCGGAAGUACUCUGUGGGUGGGGAUUAACCCGGAAGUGGCUGGUCUGAGAUCUCCCUAGAGACCGAGAACCUGGUUUAGAACUUUCCGGCCUCACUGACACUCAGAGAAAACCUGAAAAGAGGCGAGUGGGGGGCUCUGGUUUCUGUGUUCUGUGUGAUUUGUAAUGAGCCUUCCCUGUUCAUCCUGUUAGAUCUAGUCCACCGUUAAAUACACCCUGAAUUCUUGUUCGGUUCCGAA